GCUGGUGUCUGUGAUGACUGAUCUUUUUUCCCCAGCAGAUCGACAGUGAUGACUGCUUGCUAUUUUAAAGCCAACUUAACUGAUGCACCAGU
ensembl:snoRNA